rnacentral:rRNA from 1 species
GAGUCGUUGUAGCAAUACWAGGCAUACGGCUCAGUAACGCGUAGUCAACYUAACCUAUGGACGGGAAUAACCUCGGGAAACUGAGAAUAAUGCCCGAUAGAACAUUAUGCCUGGAAUGGUUUAUGUUCCAAAUGAUUUAUCGCCAUAGGAUGGGACUGCGGCCUAUCAGUUUGUUGGUGAGGUAAUGGCCCACCAAGACUAUUACAGGUACGGGCUCUGAGAGGAGUAGCCCGGAGAUGGGUACUGAGACACGGACCCAGGCCCUAUGGGGCGCAGCAGGCGAGAAAACUUUGCAAUGUGCGAAAGCACGACAAGGUUAAUCCGAGUGAUUUCUGCUAAAGAGAUCUUUUGUUAGUCCUAGAAACACUAACGAAUAAGGGGUGGGCAAGUUCUGGUGUCAGCCGCCGCGGUAAAACCAGCACCUCAAGUGGUCAGGAUGAUUAUUGGGCCUAAAGCAUCCGUAGCCGGCUCUGUAAGUUUUCGGUUAAAUCUGUACGCUCAACGUACAGGCUGCCGGAAAUACUGCAGAACUAGGGAGUGGGAGAGGUAGACGGUACUCGGUAGGAAGUGGUAAAAUGCUUUGAUCUAUCGAUGACCACCUGUGGCGAAGGCGGUCUACCAGAACACGUCCGACGGUGAGGGAUGAAAGCUGGGGGAGCAAACCGGAUUAGAUACCCGGGUAGUCCCAGCUGUAAACUAUGCAAACUCAGUGAUGCAUUGGCUUGUGGCCAAUGCAGUGCUGCAGGGAAGCCGUUAAGUUUGCCGCCUGGGAAGUACGUACGCAAGUAUGAAACUUAAAGGAAUUGGCGGGGGAGCACCACAAGGGGUGAAGCCUGCGGUUCAAU